AUUUAGCUGACAAGUCCCAAAUAGGAAGAAACGAGCAUCCUAAAU
rnacentral:hammerhead_ribozyme from 1 species